GUGCUCAUCAUGACUUCCCCCCACACCCAGAAAUUUGGGGUUCGUGUGUGAGUCUAUGGAGCAGGAGAUCCAACCCAAGACCUUGCACAUGAUAGACAAAUAUGCUACCAUUAACCUACAUUCCCAGACUGUCUUCUUGUGGUAAGUAAUUUUAGCCAUUAUAAAAAUGCAGUCUGUUUAGUAGUACUUAUGUCUACCAAUGCUGAAUAGGACCACUGUACCAUCUGUCUCCAACCUGAAUAUCAGACAUGGGUGAUGGCAAGGAAGUACAAAGGAAGACUCCAUUCACUCACCUAGCCUCCUGGUACCAACCUCGGCUGUCAGUGCUGAUGAAUGUGAGCGCCCAGACAAAGCUAAUGUUGCAAGGACUUGAGUGAAUAUAAGUUUAUGCUUUCUAACUUCAGGCAAGGCCCCAAAUGCUCAGACAAUAGCUCGUGGGCCCCAGAGAAGCAGGAACAACGGAAAGGGAGGAGUCGUUCAGUUUUCUAGCCCACCUUGACUUCAAAAAUUUUAAAAUUGAGAUGCAGAGAGACUAAGCAAUCUUUUCCCAGAUUUUACAUAGAUAAUUAUUGAAAUUACAAUUUGGUGUAUUAAUCUUUUCAGUAUCAAAGAUAAGAUCAAAGAAAAACAACUUAAAUCUGGAAUGUUUGGAGUAUGUGCAUAAUGGAGAGGGGUCAUAAGGGAAGAAGGGAAAAGAUUACUAAAUGCGCUCGCCUGGGUACACAGCAGUAGAGGAGAAACUUACCCAGCACACACAGCAGCCUGCUGAAAACCACCUGCUCUCCCCUCAAAUGAGAAACCUUUAGUUAAAUCAUUGUCUGAUAAAUCCCAGUUCUGUUAUUGAUGGUACAUGGCUGACAGAUAAAAUUGUACCUGAUAAUAUAUUCAUCUCAAUAAAAUCACAUGUGCAUGAUUUAGAAGUUGAAGGCUAAACGUGGUUAUGUACUUCUUGUACAUAAAACGUUCAGCUGGGGCUCCCUGAGGUAAGAACUGUUUUCCAUCUUGUAAGUAAUCUCCACCACAGGCUUUGGGUUAUUAGGUCACCUCGCUGAGACUGUACAAAGAGUAGUGGGAAACUUUGGUGGUUCCUCAGUCCUUUCAAAUGACAUUCUGAGACCUUUUCUGUGCAGUCCUGGGUCCUUAAGCCUCCCUUCUCCUAACUGUUUGAGCGUAUCAGACAAACAUUUGCUUAGCUUCUACUACUUCUCAACCGUGUAUAACUGACCUUGGGACCAGAGUCGGGACUGUGUAUGUGUGACUGAAGAGCUCUAAUGGAACAGCAUGGGUGCCGGGAAUCAAGGGCAUCUCACCGGUCUGUCUAAGCCACUUAAUCCGUGGAUCAUUUAACCACGGCCACCAAUGAAUUGAUACCAAGGACCAAAAUGACUAACCCUGCCUCUCUCACACUCUGACUGCUUUGCCACAUCAAUAUAAUACUUCAAGUGGGAAGUGUUUUCGAAUGUUAUUAUUGGUUAUGUGAUAUUGCUCAGCACUUAUUUUUAUUGUAAUGAUUUGUUAAAGACAUGUGUGGUUGAAUAGAUGUUUUAAUCCUC
rnacentral:lncRNA from 1 species